UGUAGGAGCGAGCCUGCUCGCGAUGGCGCCAGGUCAGUCGAAUCAGAGGUUGGCUGAUACACCGCUAUCGCGAGCAGGCUCGCUCCCACA
rnacentral:misc_RNA from 1 species